rnacentral:rRNA from 1 species
UACGAAGGGGGCUAGCGUUGCUCGGAAUCACUGGGCGUAAAGCGCACGUAGGCGGCUUCUUAAGUCAGGGGUGAAAUCCUGGAGCUCAACUCCAGAACUGCCUUUGAUACUGAGGAGCUUGAGUCCGGGAGAGGUGAGUGGAACUCCGAGUGUAGAGGUGAAAUUCGUAGAUAUUCGGAAGAACACCAGUGGCGAAGGCGAGUCCCUGGACAACACCUGACACUGAGGCACGAAAGCUAGGGGAGCAAACAGG